rnacentral:rRNA from 1 species
CGUCAAAUCAUCAUGCCCCUUAUGUCCUGGGCUACACACGUACUACAAUGGCCGUUAACAAUGGGCAGCCAAGGCGCGAGCCGGAGCAAAUCCCCAAAAACGGUCCCAGUUCAGAUUGUAGGCUGAAACUCGCCUGCAUGAAGUUGGAAUUGCUAGUAAUCGCGGAUCAGCAUGCCGCGGUGAAUACGUUCCCGGGUCUU